rnacentral:tRNA from 1 species
GGGGUUGUACCUCAGUGGUUGAGAGCUUGCCUUCCGUGCAUGAGGCACUGGGUUCGAUCCUCAGCACCACA